rnacentral:rRNA from 1 species
AACCUACCCAAGGGUACGGAAUAACUCCGGGAAACCGGCGCUAAUACCGUAUACGUCCUUUUGGAGAAAGAUUUAUCGCCCCUGGAUGGGCCCGCGUUGGAUCAACUAGUUGGUGGGGUAAUGGCCUACCAAGGCGACGAUCCAUAGCUGGUCUGAGAGGAUGAUCAGCCACACUGGGACUGGGACACGGCCCAGACUCCUACGGGAGGCAGCAGUGGGGAAUAUUGGACAAUGGGCGCAAGCCUGAUCCAGCCAUGCCGCGUGAGUGAUGAAGGCCCUAGGGUUGUAAAGCUCUUUCAGUGGUGAAGAUAAUGACGGUAACCACAGAAGAAGCUCCGGCUAACUCCGUGCCAGCAGCCGCGGUAAUACGGAGGGAGCUAGCGUUGUUCGGAAUUACUGGGCGUAAAGCGCGCGUAGGCGGUCUAUAAAGUUGGGGGUGAAAUCCCGGAGCUCAACUCCGGAACUGCCUCCAAAACUGCUAGACUCGAGUUCGGAAGAGGUAAGUAGAAUUCCCAGUGUAGAGGUGAAAUUCGUAGAUAUUGGGAAGAAU